rnacentral:rRNA from 1 species
GCGGUAAAACCAGCACCUCAAGUGGUCAGGAGGAUUAUUGGGCCUAAAGCAUCCGUAGCCUGCUCUGUAAGUUUUCGGUUAAAUCUAUAUGCUCAACGUAUAGGCCGCCGAAAAUACUGCAGUGCUAGGAAGUGGGAGAGGUAGACGGUACUUGGUAGGAAGGGGUAAAAUCCUUUGAUCUAUCGAUGACCACCUGUGGCGAAGGCGGUCUACCAGAACACGUUCGACGGUGAGGGAUGAAAGCUGGGGGAGCAAACCGGAUUAGAUACCCGGGUAGUCCCAGCUGUAAACGAUGCAGACUCGAUGAUGCAUUGGCAUAUAGCCAGUGCAGUGUCGCAGGGAAGCCGUUAAGUCUGCCGCCUGGGAAGUACGUACGCAAGUAUGAAACUUAAAGGAAUUGGCGGGGGAGCACGGUCAUACUU